rnacentral:misc_RNA from 1 species
CGUCCUCGCUCUUGCAGGCCCCUCGCAGAAUUCUAACCGCGCGACGCGACGCGACGUUACGCCGAACAGAUAUCUAGGCCAGUGUCUUACCAUCGCGUGUGAACAUCGUAGGAGUUGAUCUAGUUGGUCGCGAUUGCCCGUGCUUGCCAUUCGUCGUUGUCGAUGGACUAAGAUUGGUGUAAUUAGAUCGUUGGUGAAGUGUUGGUACUGUUUCGAGGUUCAUGGCGGAAAGAAGAUGAUGCGUAAGAAAAAGAGUAUAAAGGAUUACCCAGCAGAGCGAAUGAGUAAUUCAGAUGGAGGCUUUAACAUGAAACGUCUUGAUGAAUGUAACAUGAUCAAUUACUAUGGUUAUAAUCAUAGGAAGCUAUAAAUAAGUUUAAUAUAAGUU